AUUGUAUUGGAGUUUGAUUUGGUUUCUUCUAAAUUAGGAUUCAGCUCUUCCCUCCUCCUUCAAAAUGCAAGUUGUUCCAACUCCAACUCAGUGAAUAAGAUGGUAAAAUCUGGUGAAAGUUUCAUUUCAGUUGAGUGAGAUUAUUACGAGUUUAAGUAGCUUUUGUUGUUUCCCUUUUAAUUGAGUAAGAUGGUCAUUUGUAACUUUUGUCCUUUUUAUCUCUAUGAUUGUAACUUAUGUAUUGUUGACUACGUAUCAAUGAAGUUCAUGCCACAUGUUAGCAUUUCACUUCAUUUAAAAGCGACUUCAAAUACAUACAUGAUAUAAUGAAGUCAUGAAUUUGUGUACGGUACUAGCUCACAGAGAAUUCCCUCUAAUGCAACAGCUGCCAUUAUUACUUUGAUUUGUAUACAAAUGUUAUUUGGAAAAAAGUUUUAUACCAAAAAAAGAAAGGGAAAAAGAAAGGUUACAUGUGCCAAUGUUGCAUCCUGGUUGAGACUCUUCACAAUUCACCAAGGAUGUCUAUAAAACUCUUACCUGCGGAUUUCCGAUUAUGAAAUCCGUCACGGACACGACACGGGACGGAUAUUCUAGCUAAUGUCGGCUGAUCAAAUACAAUGAUAUUCCAAUUAUAAGUUAGUUAUAUGAAGGUGUGGAAGUUGUGAUAAUCGUACCUGCAAAUAUUUGUAUUUGAUAGUAAAUUAGUAAUAAUAACAUUUUUAUAAAUAAAUGCAUCUUAUUAGUCUAGCGGAUAUCCAUGUAGAUAUGAAACAAGAUUUUUUUAUUUUAGAAUAAUGCUAGACUUCCCGAUAAAAUGUACAGCGACAAAUUGACGAUGGAAUUGGCUUGUUGCAACAAAAAAAUAGCACCACAACCUCCUCUAUUCCACAAAUAGCGGACUUUACACCAAUGCAAUUAAACACAUAUGCAUCUGGGAAUUUUCAAGAGGCAAUUUGUCGCACUAUAUAGCAGUGCUGUUAUUUUUAUACAACAAGGCAUAUAGCAUAUGAUAAAUAUUCGUACCCUUGGAUUCCUAUUGUCAUUCCUACAUAGACCUAUUGUCGGUUUGAUAGGAAAUAGAGGAGUUCGUUGGUGAAUCAAUGUAAUGUAUUGACUUUCGGCGGUGUGUAGUGUGAUUGGAAGAACAAGUACAUUGGGUUGCAGUUUAAAUAGAGGUUGUCAAGGAAUAGAUACAUGCCGUAUCUGAAGGCAGGGUGAGGAGGCCGACCAUCUUAAGCCCCCAAAAAAUUACUAAAUUAUAGAAUAAGGUGUGAUUGUUAGUAAUAGACUUAAUUCUCUGUUGAUCAAUUUAUAAUUUAUUGUGACAUAUAUUACACUUUCUUUUCAAAGAUAUUCCUAAUUUGCAAUAAGAGAAUGAUUAUGAUGAGGAAAUACAAUCACCCGUGGAAAGUUUUCUAAAGUUUUAGUACCCUUAUUUUAAAAUUCAACUUUUUGGUCGCCCCAUUUUUUUCUAAAAUUUCUCAUAAGUCACUUUAAAUUUAUUUUAAUUUCUCAAAGCAAAGUUGCUAUAACUGCUUGUAUCAUCGACUUGCUCAUUAUCAUCCGGUACACUAAAAAUCAGUCAAGAUUUCAUGACAAGAAAUUUUUCUAGAAAUCAUCUAUCAAUCUGAUCAUCUCCAAUGUCCCUUUAUGGAAAUCACACAAAGAAGGCUUCGGCAAUUAAUAUGACAGAGUUUGUAAUCCUUAAUGCGCGUAAAAUCAACAUUAAUUCAUCCUCCAAACACUCCGUUGGUGUUAGAAGAUCUAUGGCAUCCCCCAAUUUUCAAUUGGCUGAAAGUAAAUAUUGAUACUCCCUCCGUUUCAAAAUAUAAGCAAAAUUCAGUUUUUAGAUUCAGUCAUUUAAUGAUGUAUGUGGUCCAUAUUAUGAACCACAUACAUCAUUAAAUGAAUGAACCUAAAAAUUGAAUUUUGCUUAUAUUUUGAAACGGAGGAAGUAGUGUUGUUGUCAAAAAUCCUCCUAAAGCUGCUUGUGGUGGGAUUUUCAAGAAUUCGUAUGGUUUCACCAUUGGAUAUGUUUUGCAAAAAAUCUUGUUCCUGAAUCUGCAUUCAAUGCUGAGAUUACUGCUGCUUUAACUGCUAUUGAGAUUGCCUACCAGAAAAUUUGGCUCAACCUAUGGUUGGAAACUGAUUCCAAGCUGACUAUGAUGGCUUUCAAAAAUGCUUGCUUUGAUUCCUUGGACCUUAAGAAACAGGUGGGUGAACUUUCAAGAAAUGAUCAAAGGCAUGAACUUCUUAGUUUAGCCAACUUAGGUCUUAAUGUUUCAAGUUUUGUUUGGUGGCAGGGAUGCACCUAACAAUGUUAGAAGAGAUGCAAUUACAAACAAAUAUGUUGCAUAUGCCGAAUUUUAAGUUUCUUACCUCAUGAAAAAGUUAGGGUUAUAUUCCACUUUUCUCUUUUGUAUGUCUUCCUUUGUUUUUAAUGAUAUUGGUUGGUGUGCUUUGCACUACUCUUACUUUAAAAAAAAAAAAAAAAAACGGGAGUAGAAAUUACUUUUAUUAUUUUUCGUAAAAAAAAUCCUUAAAUAUAAUUAAGGACGUCUUAAAAAAAAAACUUCAUUCAUUUGUCUAUUUAGUUAUUUAUGUAUCGAUAUACCUUUAAUUGUUUUCCAUUCUUUUGGUAUAGCCUUCGUCAUGCAUCAAAAAAUGUAUGCCGCCAGCAGUAUAAUGUCACGGUAUUGCGUCUUCUUUUGACGUCAUUAAUAUAUGCCUCAAAAAACACCACAAAUAAAAAAUAUAUGUAUAUAAAAAAAAGGCAUUCCUUCGAUAAAGACAGACAGCUAUGAAAAUGAUGUACAUGUUAAAGACAUAACAAAAUAUAAUUUAAAGUGGAAUAAAUAAAAUUAAAGCAAGAAUGCCCAAUAAAUAACAUAUCAUUAGGCUGUUUUCCAACAAAAAAGAAAAUAGUACAAGACCAAUGUCUAUUAUUGUAUUUUUUUAUAAAUAAUCCAUAUUAAAAACUUUAAUUCCAAACUAGCCUACAUAAAAUAAAAUUACCAAAAUACUAUACUUUUCGGUUUGCAUAUUGGACCUUGCAAGUUAGGGUACCUCGCAAGUCAAAUAAUGCAUAUGCUUUCUACUAUUCAACUGAGUGUCCUUUCGCAUGUUUUAGAUUCAAUUUGGUAUAAGGAGGCUCCAUUUAAGGUAUCUUUAUUUGUUUGGUGUUUUUUACAUAAUCGGUUUAUUAUCAAGGAUACCUUAUUUAGAUGAGGUAUCAUCAAUCACGAUCGCAGUUUUGUGUAAGUGGUUGUAGUGCCUUUGAAUUGACAAAUCAUCUGUUUUUAUGGUUUUUAGUGCUAUUUGGCACCUUGUUCGUCGUUGGAUUGGGAUUUUUUCGAUCAACCCUUUUGGUAUUUUAGGCCAUUUUGUUUUGUUAUGUCAUUUAGCACACGUUUCUAAAGUUCCGCGAUCUAUCUCGCACGUCAUUUGGUUCUUUUGUUUUUGUGUAAUUUAGAAAGAGAGGAACAACAAUAUUUUCAAUUCAACAGCUGUUGGACAAAAUUAAGUUACACUCUUAUUGGUGGCAAAAUAUGUUAAUAUUGUUUUUGGAUAUCAUAGCCGAUGGCUUGUCCCUUUCCCUUGUUUGAGCAUUGUUUAAUUGCUCUCUUUUAUUCUUCUCUUAUCAUUUUUUAUUUGUUCCUUUAAUAAACUCUGAUCUUCUCUAGUACAUCUUGUGCUACAUAAAAUGUUUUCUUGUUGGAAAUAUAUAUAUUCCAUUCUUAUUCAUUAAAAAAAACAUUUUUUUAGUUAAAAAUUGAAAGCCGGAAAGUGAGCUCUACAUGAGUUUGAAAGGGUAUCUACUCUUGUGGAUAUGGAUAUAGAGGCUAUGGGAGUAAAAUGUUGCAGAACUGACUUUGUGGAAACAAUAAAUAAAAAAAUGGAACAACUGACUUUAUGGGAAAACGAAAAUAAAAAACUAACAUUUUAUAUUACUCUUGAUUUGGCCCAAUCUAGUCUUACAUAUGAAGAUGCUAUAUAUGGGAGAAAAAUGGGGGAACUGCCUUUUAUGGUAAAAAGAAAUAAAAAACUAACCUCUUAGCCAAAUCUUCUUCAAUGAAUUUGUGCCUUUCUUAUGUGUUAAUUUUAAUAAAAAAAAAAUGCAUUAGUAAAAGGGUGCCCCUAAUAUGGACCCAUAAAGGUCCAUUGGUGGACCUAUGCAUAUGACCCACAACAACCGGUUAUCCUCCAUAUUUAUAAUUUAAAUGUAAAUUUUAAUAAAGUGAGAUAUGUCUCCUUUACAAAAUGUCUCUCCCUUCCUCAAAGUAUCUGUAUUUUACAUCUCCAUUAUUGGACCUUCAUGCUUCGCCUCUCUCUCUCUCUCUCUCUCUCUCUCUCUCUCUCUNNNNNNNNNNNNNNNNNNNNNNNNNNNNNNNNNNNNNNNNNNNNNNNNNNNNNNNNNNNNNNNNNNNNNNNNNNNNNNNNNNNNNNNNNNNNNNNNNNNNNNNNNNNNNNNNNNNNNNNNNNNNNNNNNNNNNNNNNNNNNNNNNNNNNNNNNNNNNNNNNNNNNNNNNNNNNNNNNNNNNNNNNNNNNNNNNNNNNNNNNNNNNNNNNNNNNNNNNNNNNNNNNNNNNNNNNNNNNNNNNNNNNNNNNNNNNNNNNNNNNNNNNNNNNNNNNNNNNNNNNNNNNNNNNNNNNNNNNNNNNNNNNNNNNNCUCUCUCUCUCUCUCUCUCUCUCUCUCUCUCUCUCUCUCUCUCUCUCUCUCUCUCUCGUUAGAACAUCACCCGACAUCACCUCACUGUUCCUCAAGUAUUGACCUUCAUAUCAUGACAACCAUAUGCAACAAAAUCACUUGAGAAGAACUUACAAACCACCAAACUCAAUGAUCUUUAGUUGCUUAAUUUUUUAUAUUUUCUAAGCUAAUCGUAAUUUUUUUCUUUUCUUUCAUAUAACGAACGCUAAAGUUAAAUUAACAAAAUGUUGUUUAGGUUUUUGUUUUUAUCACGUAGCCAAGGGUCAAGGGAUUACAUCCAAAAGAAAUAUAGGACCGGCAUAUAUGGUAGCCAAAACAAAAACGAAAUUGCUAUGACAUAUAUGAAAGGUUAAUUUUCCUAAAGCAAUUUUGAGCAACUCCAAAAUAAGAAAAUGGUUCAAAAUUCUGAAAGUUAUAGACAAUUUAUGUACAACAUGCAAUAAUGAUUGCUCAACCUUCAUUGUAGAUCCAAAUCAUAAGAUUGAAUUUGAAAGUGAAAAAUGGGUUCAGAUCCACUAUCUAGAUUUUUGUAGAAAACCUUCGACUAUUAUGUUCUGCUGAUGGAAGCAAAACACAAGAUUGAAUUUGAAAAAUAAAAACAAAUGUAAAUCCAAGAUUUGUAGAAUCAAUGUUGUCAAGACACUUUUUUAGCUCAUUCCCCUUCUAUACCGCCGACUCCAUAAGUGAGUUUCAUUGGAGAUCUAGCAUGUUGAGAUGAUUAGAAGGAUAGAGUCGUUUUUGUUGUCAACAUAUUGUGAUAUUAUGGGUAUUUAUUAAUUAUAGAAUAAACCCCCAAAAAUUAUUAAUUGAAGUGACCGGAUGUGGUAGAUCACUUGUCCAGGUCCACCAGUGCACACUUUUCUUUGGGGUCCAUAUUAGGGACUCCCAUAAUAAAACACUACAACAUAUAUGAGAUUUAGUAACACUUGAAAAAUGUUAGUAAAUACAAAAACUGUUACUAUUUAGAUUCAAUAAUACUUAAAAAAUGUUAGUAAAUAAAAAAAAAAUGUUACUAUUUAAAUUUAGUAAUAUAUAAAUGUUUGGUAAAGUCUAUGUUACUAAAUGAUUCAAGUGGUAGAAGGUUUGAGCUUUUUAAGCGAAGUGAUUAGCAUAUAUAGAGAAUAAAAGACAAAAAACAAGUAGCAACAAUAUAUUAGAGUUCAUGCACCCAGUUGAUAAAGCAUCCAAGUUUUAUAAUAUUGACCGUAAUGAUGGUCAUUGUAUAUAAUUUUUUUGUUGACAGCAUUGUAUAUACCAAAGAUGAGCUCAUUCCGUGAAGAUAUAAACAAUUAGAAACCAAAACUAUUUUAUUAAAGUAAUAAUACUGUAAGCAACAAUUGUUUAUUCCAGAUCAUACCAACUACAAAGCAUAUUAAAGACGAAUAUUAUAUAUAUACCACAAUAUAUAGUCAAUUAAAAAAGAUUAAAUAAUGUAUCAGAUUAUACAUUUUCUACACAUAUUCAUUUCUUUAAAAAGGAACCCUUCACAGACAUUAAACACUCAUCCAUUACCAAUAGCAUUGAACUCACCAUGGCUUCUUUUUCUACACUUUUCUCCACUCUAAUUCUCACAAUAGCCCUUCUCUCAUUUUCUUGCUCAUCACAACAGUUCUUCUCACCAGUUGAAAAAGACCCAAUAACCAAUCUAUUCUCCACAUUACUUUGGGUAGGAACAGAACCUACACAUGAAUUCAAUUUUGUGAUUGAUAUUGGAGGACCAAUCCUAUGGUAUGACUGCAACAAAGCCUACAACUCUUCAACCUACAAUCCCAUCUCUUGUGAAUCCAAACAUUGCACUAAUGAUGCUGGAUGCACUAGCUGCAAUGGUCCUUUCAAACCAGGUUGCUCAAACAAUACAUGUGGUGCAAACAUAAUUAAUCCAUUAGUUGAUGCAAUUUUUUCAGGUGACACUGGCAGUGAUGCUUUGUUCAUACCAAAAUCUAAAAUCAAAGUCUCUGACUUUAUCUCUGGUUGCACUGACUCUAAUGCAUUUGCUGAUUCUGCUGACUCUGAUUUCCCUCUCAAAAACUUACCAAAAACUAGUAAAGGUAUAUUAGGCCUUGCAAGAACACCACUUUCAUUACCAAAACAGCUUUCAUUAGCUCCUUUUAAACUUCUUAACAAGUUUGCUCUUUGUUUACCAUCUUCAAACAAUCUUGGUAGUCUUUUCAUUGGUGGGGUAGGAUCUUCUCUUUCCAAGUUUCAACUCACUAAAGUUCCUCUUGUUAUUAAUCCCUUUAGCACUGCUCCAAUAUUUACCGAUGGUGAUGCUUCUUAUGAAUACUUUAUUGAUGUGAAAUCAAUUAAAGUUGGUGGUGAAGUUCUGAGCUUCAAGUCUUCCCUUUUGUCCAUUGACAAUAAGGGAAAUGGUGGAACAAAACUUAGCACAAUGAAGUCCUUCACUGUGUUGCAUAGUUCCAUAUUCAAACCACUUGUUAGAGAUUUUACUAAGAAGGCUUCUGAUAAAAAAAUAAAGAAAGUGGCAUCAGUGGCACCAUUUGAUACAUGUUUUGAUUUGAGCACUAUUGGUAAGACUAAUACUGGAUUGGAUGUGCCUACUAUUGGUUUGGUGCUAGAAGGAGGUGUGGAGUGGACAAUUUUUGGUGGAAAUUCUAUGGUCUUGGUGAGUAAAAAUGUAGCAUGUCUUGGAUUUGUGGAUGGUGGUAAAGAGCCAAGAACAGCUGUUGUUAUUGGUGGACACCAGUUGGAGGACAUUGUAUUGGAGUUUGAUUUGGUUUCUUCUAAAUUAGGAUUCAGCUCUUCCUUGCUCCUUCAAAAUGCAAGUUGUUCCAACUCCAAUUCAGUGAAUAAGAUGGUAAAAUCUAGUGAAAGUUUCAUUUCAGUUGAGUGAGAUUAUUAUGAGUUUAAGUAGCUACUGUUGUUUCCCUUUUAAUAAUUGAGUAAGAUGGUGAUUUGUAAACUUUUGUCCUUUUCAUUUCUCUCUAUGAUUGUAACUUAUGUUUCGUUGACU
rnacentral:lncRNA from 1 species